GCCCGCUUAGCUCAGUGGUAGAUGCGCUCCACUAGUAAUUCAUUACUGUUAUGGAGAGGUCACUGGUUCAACUCCAGUAGUGGGCA